rnacentral:rRNA from 1 species
CAGUAGCCGCGGUAAUACGAAGGGUGCAAGCGUUACUCGGAAUUACUGGGCGUAAAGCGUGCGUAGGUGGUGGUUUAAGUCCGUUGUGAAAGCCCUGGGCUCAACCUGGGAAUUGCAGUGGAUACUGGGUCACUAGAGUGUGGUAGAGGAUAGUGGAAUUUCCGGUGUAGCAGUGAAAUGCGUAGAGAUCGGAAGGAACAUCUGUGGCGAAGGCGACUAUCUGGGCCAUUACUGACACUGAGGCACGAAAGCGUGGGGAGCAAACAGGAUUAGAUACCCCAGUAGUCCCUGUCUCUUAUAC